rnacentral:rRNA from 1 species
UGGGGAAUUUUGGACAAUGGGCGAAAGCCUGAUCCAGCAAUGCCGCGUGUGUGAAGAAGGCCUUCGGGUUGUAAAGCACUUUUGUCCGGAAAGAAAUCCUUGGCUCUAAUACAGUCGGGGGAUGACGGUACCGGAAGAAUAAGCACCGGCUAACUACGUGCCAGCAGCCGCGGUAAUACGUAGGGUGCAAGCGUUAAUCGGAAUUACUGGGCGUAAAGCGUGCGCAGGCGGUUUGCUAAGACCGAUGUGAAAUCCCCGGGCUCAACCCGGGAACUGCAUUGGUGACUGGCAGGCUAGAGUAUGGCAGAGGGGGGUAGAAUUCCACGUGUAGCAGUGAAAUGCGUAGAGAUGUGGAGGAAUACCGAUGGCGAAGGCAGCCCCCUGGGCCAAUACUGACGCUCAUGCACGAAAGCGUGGGGAGCAAACAGGAUUAGAUACCCUGGUAGUCCACGCCCUAAAACGAUGUCAACUAGUUGUUGGGGAUUCAUUUCCUUAGUAACGUAGCUAACGCGUGAAGUUGACCGCCUGGGGAGUACGGUCGCAAGAUUAAAACUUAAAUGAAUUGAC